rfam:Catenibacterium sp. CAG:290 genomic scaffold, scf182
UUGUAUCUUUGGGGCAGGUGAAAUUCCUGAUCGGCGGUAAAAGUCCGCGAGCGUAAAGCAUGAACUGGUGUAAUUCCAGUACCGACGGUAUAGUCCGGAUGGAAAAAGAUGGCG